rnacentral:rRNA from 1 species
AUUGAACGCUGGCGGCAUGCUUUACACAUGCAAGUCGAACGGUAACAGGUCUUCGGAUGCUGACGAGUGGCGAACGGGUGAGUAAUACAUCGGAACGUGCCUAGUAGUGGGGGAUAACUACUCGAAAGAGUAGCUAAUACCGAAUGAGAUCUACGGAUGAAAGCAGGGGACCUUCGGGCCUUGUGCUACUAGAGCGGCUGAUGGCAGAUUAGGUAGUUGGGGGGGUAAAGGCUUACCAAGCCGGCGAUCUGUAGCUGGUCUGAGAGGACGAGCGGGCAAGAGGGGGCUGAGACACGGCCCAGACUCCUACGGGGGGCAGCAGUGGGGGAUUUUGGACAAUGGGCGAAAGCCUGAUCCAGCAAUGCCGCGUGCAGGAUGAAGGCCCUCGGGUUGUAAACUGCUUUUGUACGGAACGAAAAGCCUGGGGCUAAUAUCCCCGGGUCAUGACGGUACCGUAAGAAUAAGCACCGGCUAACUACGUGCCAGCCGCCGCCGUAA